UCUGUUUGAUCCUGCCGGAGGCCACUGCUAUCGGGGUUCGAUUAAGCCAUGCGAGUCGAGAGGUGCAAGACCUCGGCGCACUGCUCAGUAACACGUGGAUAACCUACCCUCAGGAGGGGGAUAACCCCGGGAAACUGGGGAUAAUACCCCAUAGAUCAGGGACGCUGGAAUGCCCCCUGAUUCAAAGGUCCGCCGCCUGAGGAUGGGUCUGCGGCCGAUUAGGUUGUUGUUGGGGUAACGGCCCAACAAGCCAUUGAUCGGUACGGGUUGUGAGAGCAAGAGCCCGGAGAUGGAUUCUGAGACACGAAUCCAGGCCCUACGGGGCGCAGCAGGCGCGAAAACUUUACAAUGCGAGAAAUCGUGAUAAGGGAACCCCGAGUGCCCGUAAAUUCGGGCUGUCCGCCAGUGUAAAUAACUGGUGAAGAAAGGGCCGGGCAAGACCGGUGCCAGCCGCCGCGGUAAUACCGGCGGCUCGAGUGGUGGCCACUAUUACUGGGCUUAAAGCGUCCGUAGCUUGAUUGUUAAGUCUCUUGGGAAAUCCACCGGCUCAACCGAUGGGCGUUCAGGAGAAACUGGCAAUCUAGGGACCGGGAGAGGUGAGAGGUACUCCAGGGGUAGGAGUGAAAUCUUGUAAUCCUUGGGGGACCACCUGUGGCGAAGGCGUCUCACUAGAACGGCUCCGACAGUGAGGGACGAAAGCUGGGGGAGCAAACCGGAUUAGAUACCCGGGUAGUCCCAGCCGUAAACGAUGCGCGUUAGGUGUAUCGGUGACCACGAGUCAUCGAGGUGCCGAAGGGAAACCGUGAAACGUGCCGCCUGGGAAGUACGGUCGCAAGGCUGAAACUUAAAGGAAUUGGCGGGGGAGCACCACAACAGGUGGAGCCUGCGGUUUAAUUGGACUCAACGCCGGGCAGCUCACCGGAUAAGACAGCUGAAUGAUAGCCGGGCUGAAGACUCUGCUUGACUAGCUGAGAGGAGGUGCAUGGCCGUCGUCAGUUCGUACUGUGAAGCAUCCUGCUAAGUCAGGCAACGAGCGAGACCCA
rnacentral:rRNA from 1 species